UCAUCACUGUGAAUUCCCAAUCCCCAAUCCCCGCUCAUCACUUCGAUAGUCCGAAACAAGCCCUAGCUCACUGUCAUACUCGGAGUUGGAGCACCAGGUGACCUGAUCGCUAAACUUAGGUUUUCGUGCGGAAAUUUCUGGGCUGCAAGACAGCUUCAUGCUUCAAGAAACCCGAUGUUUUACAUCAUUUCUCAAUGCAGAACUUAGGAACAAAGCUUAUGAAAAUUCAUUGCAAACCUUUGGCCCAAGCUAAUUUUUCUUUUGCUCCUGUUGAUUUAAAAGCUCUUAUAAUCUGGAGAUGCUCGGUAUCAUCUUUGACAAAAUUUAGUAGUGCGCAAGAAAAUGACAAUUUCUGGUUGAAGAGACUCGAACAUAAGGAUUGGCUUGCGCCUAAUGAAGUUCUGAAAGUGUUUCAAAAUUUGACAGAUCCUGAACUGGUUAUGGAUGCUUUCAAAAAGGCCUCUUCUCGGGUGGAUUAUAAGCCAAGUGAAGCUAUAUAUAGUUUACUGAUAAACAGGUUUGCUCGUGCAAAGAAGUUCAAUGCAAUUGGUGAUUUGUUGGAUAUGGCAAAGUGCGAUAAAUGCCGGCUUUCUGACGAAUUCUUUUACAGAGUAAUAAAAAUUUAUGGGAAUUUAGCAAAUCAUCCUGAGCUAGCCAUUAAUACACUUUAUAGAAUGCCAGAGUUCCAAUGUUGGCCAACAAUAAAAACUUUUAACUACGUGCUUAACUUACUGGUGUGCACUAAACAGUUUCAGUUAACUCAUGAGAUUUUUCUUAGUGCAGCGAGGUUGGGUCUUUCGCUUGAUACUUGUUGCUUUAACAUUCUCAUCAAGGGUUUGUGCCAGUUAGACAAAUUGGAAGCUGGAUUUUCCUUAUUGCAUGAAACCUCAAAGCAAGGUCUGAUGCCUAAUGCAACCACCUACUCAACAUUGAUGCAUGCUCUUUGUAAGCAUGGUAGAGUAAAGGAAGCAUUUGAGGUAUAUGAGAUGUUGGAGAGAGAAGGUUGCCAUCCUGAUGCCAUAACCUUCAACAUAAUGAUUUCUGGACUAUGUAAACAAGGAAAAAUUGAUGAGGGCAUGGGACUUUUGAAGAUUAUGAAGCUGAAGGGAUGCUAUCCAAAUUCAGCAACUUAUCAAGCCCUUCUGUAUGGCUUGUUGCACAACAAACAAUAUGUCGAUGCGAAGAAUUUUAUAGGUACUAUGAUCUCCGAAAGGAGAUUUCCUAGUUUUUUGUCAUACAAGAUGGCAAUUGAGGGCCUUUGUAGUGAGAAACUUGUUCAUGAUAUGGAUUCCGUUUUGAGGCAAAUGGUGAGCCAGGGAUUUGUUCCAAGGAUGGGAACCUGGAAGAAGAUUAUUCGGUGCAUCUUCUAUGUUAAAAAUGUAUAUAUUGAAGAAGCCAAAUCUCUAAACCCAAUUUAGUGUUUUUAUUCUCUUGGGAUGCGGUGAUUAUAAGAUUGUGAAGUAGUUUUUGAAUUAACAGCAUAUUGUCCCCAAAGACAGAAGGAUUCUAUUUCCAAUAAUCCAAAUGAUUUCAUGUCCAUGAUGUGGGGAAGAGGAUAUGCCUCAGAAGAUGACUUUCUCUGCUGUGUUGUGAGUAAUUAAAUUCUAAAAAUAACCUCCAUUUCCCGUCAAGUUACUAUUUUUUGAAUAAAAAUUAGUAGAUCUGGCAGUGAUUCACAAGGAUAUUAGCAAAGGAAAUCUCUCGGGCAGGGAGAGUAGUCUCCCCCGCAUUCACAGUUGUAGAAAUGAUAUCAAGGAUUCAGCCUUUCGUAACGAAUUCAUCCUGUUGUUUUAGCUGUUUAUCAAAAUUGCUAAAUUAUCUCCAUGUCCAUCUAGACGGAGAGAUUCAAGCUCUGUGCAUUAAAUUCAGAUUCUAAAGAAAACCUUAGCAAUAAUGUUUUGGGGGCAAGGUUUGAUCUCCUGGAAAGUAAUGCUGUAAACAAUUCUAUCAUGAAUUAGCUUGGAUAUUGUUUCGUAGAAAAACUUCACCUUUUU